CAUGUAUUUGUUAUCACAGAAUCUUCUUCUUAACUCAUGUGUGGGACCCAUUUUUUUUUUUUGUUUUUUGUGUGGUAUUUGAGCUUCUCCUCAUGGGCGCUCUGACGCUGUGUUAUAGCCCCAGUCCUUUUUAUUUUUUGAUAAGGUCUUGCUAAAUUGCCUAGGCUAUUCUCCAGCUUUUCGUGCUUUUGUUUCCUGUGUUUCCUGGAUUUUAGUCAUGUGCCACCACACCUGGUUUGAGUCCCUUUUUUUAUAUGACUGUUUUCAUUUGUUUUAAGCUGUGUUUGAGCUUUGGUUAUAGCUUGUUGGUAGAGGACUUGUGUGGUAUGCAUUUUCUACAUACUAUUAAUUUAAUCCUCAAAAUAACUUAAGGGGCUUUGAGUUAUUUUCUCAGCUUUGCAACUGAGGAUUCUAAG
rnacentral:lncRNA from 1 species